rnacentral:rRNA from 1 species
AUUGAACGCUGGCGGCAGGCCUAACACAUGCAAGUCGAACGGUAACAGGAAGCAUCUUGCUGUUUCGCUGACGAGUGGCGGACGGGUGAGUUAUGUCUGUGAAACUUCCUGAUGGAGGGGGAUCACUACUGGAAACGGUAGCUAAUACCGCAUAACGUCGCAAGACCAAAGAGGGGGACCUUCGGGCCUCUUGCCAUCGGCUGUGCCCAGAUGGGAUUAGCUAGUAGGUGGGGUAACGGCUCACCUAGGCGACGAUCCCUAGCUGGUCUGAGAGGAUGACCAGUCACACUGGAACUGAGACACGGUCCAGACUCCUACGGGAGGCAGCAGUGGGGAAUAUUGCACAAUGGGCGAAAGCCUGAUGCAGCCAUGCCGCGUGUAUGAAGAAGGUCUUCGGGUUGUAAAGUACUUUAAGCGGGGAUGAAGGGAGUAAAGUUAAUACCUUGGCUCAUUGACGUUACCAGCAGAAGAAGCACCGGCUAACUCCGUG